GAUGAACGCUAGCGGCAGGCCUAAUACAUGCAAGUCGAACAGUGUCUUCGGACAUAGUGGCGCACGGGUGCGUAACACGUAUGCAACCUACCUUACGUCGGGGGAUAGCCUUUCGAAAGGGAGAUUAAUACCGCAUAAGACAGUAGCUGGGCAUCCAGCAGCUGUUAAAGAUUUAUCGAUGUAAGCUGGGCAUGCGUCCAAUUAGCUAGUUGGUGAGGUAACGGCUCACCAAGGCAAUGAUUGGUAGGGGAACUGAGAGGUCAAUCCCCCACACUGGCACUGAGAUACGGGCCAGACUCCUACGGGAGGCAGCAGUAGGGAAUAUUGGGCAAUGGACGCAAGUCUGACCCAGCCAUGCCGCGUGCAGGAUGAAGGCGUUAUGCGUUGUAAACUGCUUUUAUACAGGAAGAAACGACUCUUACGAGAGGCAUUGACGGUACUGUAUGAAUAAGCACCGGCUAACUCCGUGCCAGCCGCCGCAGUAACAC
rnacentral:rRNA from 1 species